CCCUUAGAUGUUCUGGGCCGCACGCGCGCUACACUGACGGAGGCAGCGAGCAUGUCCUUCGCCGAGAGGUGUGGGGAAUCUUGUGAGUCUCCGUCGUGCUGGGGAUAGAUGGUUGCAAUUGUCGAUCUUGAACGAGGAAUUCCUAGUAAGCGCGAGUCAUCAGCUCGCGCUGAUUACGUCCCUGCCCUUUGUACACACCGCCCGUCGCUACUACCGAUUGAAUGCUCAGGUGAGCCAUUCGGACUUUCAUCAUGCUGGUUUCCAGUUUUGAUGAAGGAAAGUCUUGCGAACCUUAUCAUUUAGAGGAAGGAGAAGUCGUAACA
rnacentral:rRNA from 1 species